rnacentral:lncRNA from 1 species
UGUGGGGCUUGGCAUUUGUCCCUGCACAAAGAUCUCUGGCAGGACUGGGUUUGUAUAGUUAUGUUAACCCAAAAAAAAAAAAAAAAAAAAAAAAAAGUGUGACUUGGAGCUUGAACCCAGGACUAAAUGCAUCCAGGCAAGAGCUCUACCACGGCGAUCCAUCCCCAGAUCCACAUCUUGAGAUCAAUCACCCUGAAGUCACAAAGUUUAAGCCAUGCCAGACACAAACUAGAAAAAUGACCAAAUCCUGGGCCAGGUUUGCAAGACUGACCAAAGCUGCAGCCAGAAGGCCGGGAAGCAGCUGGAGAUAGCCCACAUCUCUCUUCUGUUCUCUUACACUGCGUUCCCCUCCCCCUUGCUUCUUUCUGUUCCCCAUUUAUUCGAGGUCUGUUUGUGGUAAGCAGGCACAGCUACACCUGGCUAGUAACACGCAAGCCUUAGGAAUUACAGUUUUGCUGUGCUGAUGCCGGAACCUAUGGCCUUGGGGAGAUUCCCACUAAGCCACUCCCACACCCUUGACAUAUGCCCUUAUUAAACCGAGUUCAAGAAGAAGGGACGAGUUCUGAUCAGCUUACUUUUUUCUGUAGGAAUUAUGCUGUUUGCUUUUGCUUCUUAUCUAAGUCAACAGAAAAGCAAAAGUAAUCAGAGAACCAGCUAUGAGGACCGCCUUGGCCCCAGAGCCCUGCACGCAGUGAUCAUGUAGUCUUUGAACUCAGUUCCAGAUCAGUUCUGUUUUCUCUCAGCAAAGACCUGCCAGUUCUUGGUUUCUGCUUCUGCAAAGCCACCCUUCACCAGAUUGCACAGGUGCAGGAACAAGAACUUGGUAGUUUGAUAAGAGAAUUCUCAUCCAGUUAUCCGACGGAUCCGGGUUUUAGCCUAGUUGAGAGGUGCUGAAGCAGAAGAAUUGUCAUUUGAGUUUGAGGCCAGUCUAGAGGACAUAGCAUGGUUCUGAUGCUUGACUCAGUGUACAGACAAACAACAAAUCCACACCUGGGGCUGGAGAGAUGGCUCAGUAGUCAAGGGCACUGGCUGCUCUAACACAGGUCCUGAGUUCAAUUCCCAGCAACCACAUGGUGGCUCACAACCAUCUGUAAUGAGACUGAUGCCCUCUUCUGGUGUGUCUGAAAACAGCUAUAGUGUACUCAUAUGCAUAAAUGAAUAAAUCUUAAAAAAAAUCCGAAUCUGAAACCCCAAAUAAACAAGCAACCCCCAAUAAUCCCUCUAAAAAAAAUAAAACCAAACCUGUGCCCAAAUUCUGUUUUAGCUGUACAUUACCUUUAAGCAACUUCUAGGUGGAGACCCCUCUUGAUAUAGGUUUUACAGUUUAGCCCAACAAUAGCUAGGCUCAGUAGCCAAUGCCUGCAACUCCAGCAAUCUACUGGUGGAGGCAAGAGCAGUUUAGGGCAAAUCUGUACCAACAUAAUUGAGCUCAAGAGCAACAUAGAGAACUCAGCACAACAAAUAUAGUAUUCUCUCACCCCCUCCCCUGUUCCCAGUAUUUUAUGUGGGUGGCAUAUUAAGUAGUAGUGGAACACACAUCUUGACUUUUCCAAGAAUAUAAUUAAUAUUAUUUUGUGAAUAAUAAUAUUUAAUAAUAAUAAUUAUUACAGUAAGAACAACAACCACUACAACACUGAUAGCCUUAUUUUGAAAGGGUCUUACUCUGUAGCCCAGGCUGGCCUAGAACUCAUGGUACUCCUACUGCCUCAGUUUCCCAAGUGCAGGGAUAGUAAUCAAAAAAAUAUCAGUGAGUUCUGAAGCCAGGCUUGGGAAAGAAUUCCCUGACUUACAGAGGGGUGUGGUUUAUUGGAUGCAAGGCAUAUACACCUCAAUGAAGCCUUUUUAAGACUGUGUUGUUUCAUUUUGUUUUUUAGAUUCUUUUAAAAACUACAUUUAUCUUUGUGUGUCUGUCUGUAUGUGUGUGAGUGUGCUUAUGUGGAGGUCAGAGGCCAACUUGCCAGUUUGUUUUUUCCUUCCAUCCCAUCCCUUGAGUCCUGGGGAUUGGGUUCAGCUUGUCGGGCUUAGGGGCAAAUAAAUGCCUUUACCCACUAGCCCAUCUCUCUAGUUCCGUUUUUUGAGCUUUUUCUUUGUUUGUUUGUUUUGAGCUUUUUUUUUUUUUUUUUUAAUUUUUAAACAGGGUCUCUCUUUGUAGUCUUGGCUGUUUCGGAACUCACUCUGUGGCCUCAAACUCACAGAGAACUGCCUGCCUCUGUCUCCCGAGUGCUGGGAUUAAAGGUGUGUGCCACCAUGCCUGGCUAUUGAGAUUUUUAAGACAGGUCUCAAUGUGUAUCUCAGGUAAGCCUUAAACUUGAUAGGUAGACAGGCUGGCUUUGAAUUCCAGAAUUUCUACCUAAACCCUUUCACUCUGAAAUUACAGAUGUAUCUGAUGAAUAAAGCUUUUCCUUUCCUUUUGGUGAUAGAAAGAGAAGGCAGUUUAUU